rnacentral:rRNA from 1 species
GGGAUGAACGCUGGCGGCGUGCCUAAGACAUGCAAGUCGAGUGGGUUUAGACCCACGGCGAACGGGUGAGUAAUACCUAGGAACUUUCUUUAAGUGGAGCAUAACCAGUCGAAAGAUUGGAUAAUACUCCAUGCCAUCGCAAGAUGAAAGUCGCAAGACGCUUAAAGUGAGGCCUGGGCACCAUCAGCUAGUUGGUAAGGUAAUGGCUUACCAAGGCUAUGACGGCUAGGGGUCCCGAGAGGGAUAACCCCCACACUGGAACUGCGACACGGUCCAGACUCCUACGGGAGGCAGCAGUUUGGAAUUUUGGACAAUGGGCGAAAGCCUGAUCCAGCGACGCCGCGUGGACGAUGAAGGCCUUCGGGUCGUAAAGUCCUUUUGCUCGGGAACAAUAUUUUGAGCGUACCGAGAGAAUAAGAGGUUGCUAACUCUGUGCCAGCAGCCGC